GCACCUUUAGCUCAGCUGGUUAGAGCGUUCGAUUCACAUUCGAAAGGUCGUAGGUUCGAAUCCUACAAGGUGCACCA
rnacentral:tRNA from 1 species